CAUGACGUAGCAACUAAGCAUAGAGGAGCACCAGUACAAUUUUUAUUUAAAGUAUCUUAAUAACUGCAUCAUUUCUGUUCAACCAGGUAGCCCCCCUGCUUGGCUGAGCAUCCAAAGAUUCACCUGGAACUGAUAAACCCCUAGUUUUGUAGUCUCCUCUCUCUCCCCCUUCCCACAAAGCUCUGCUCCAGCCCAUCAGAAGUACUGCCUUCUCUGAACCAGCUGUGAACUUGGCUCCUUCUAUGUGUUCUGUCCCUGCUCCUCCUUCAAGAUCUGGAAGAACGGCUAUGGAAUCUCAACCGUCCUCCAGGAACCUCUAAAAACCCCACCCAUGGUCCAGCCUGGAAAGGGUCAGCCAGUGGUUCCUGCAGCCCCUUCCUGGCCGUGACUGCCAUCUUGUGGACACAGAUAGUAACUGCACUGGGGCUGGCCUCAAACACCCACCUAAGAACCGAAAGACUUCAUGACAAACAAGGACAAAAUAUGGAUGAGCCGGCAAUGCCAUUUCUGGGUAUUGAUCUAAGGGAAAUGAAAACACUAACUCAGAAAGCUAUCUGGACCCCCAUGUGCACUGCAGUGUUAUUCACAAGAGCCAAGGCACGGAGACAACCUCACUGUCCAUCAGGGGACAAACGGACGAAGAAAAGGCAGCGCACACCUGGGGCUUCCAGGUGGCUUGGUGGUAAAGAAUCCGCCCUCCAAGGCAGGAGAUGCAAGAAACACGCUUUCAGUCGCUGGGUCAGGAAGAUCCCCUGCAGAAGGGGAUGGCCACCCAUUCCAGUAUUCUUUCCUGGAGAACUGCAUGGACAGAGGAGCCUGGCAGGUUACAGUCCAUGGGGUCACAGAGUCGCCUGGCAGCUUACAGUCCAUGGGGUCACAG
ensembl:lncRNA